CAGUCGCCGCGGGAAAACGUAGGUGGCAAGCGUUGUCCGGAAUUAUUGGGCGUAAAGGGCUCGCAGGCGGUUUCUUAAGUCUGAUGUGAAAGCCCCCGGCUCAACCGGGGAGGGUCAUUGGAAACUGGGAAACUUGAGUGCAGAAGAGGAGAGUGGAAUUCCACGUGUAGCGGUGAAAUGCGUAGAGAUGUGGAGGAACACCAGUGGCGAAGGCGACUCUCUGGUCUGUAACUGACGCUGAGGAGCGAAAGCGUGGGGAGCGAACAGGAUUAGAGACCCCUGUAGUCCCUGUCUCUUAUAC
rnacentral:rRNA from 1 species